rnacentral:lncRNA from 1 species
UUUAUUUAAAACAUGUAAAUGCCAUCAAUAUAAACUGAGAAUUUAAGUAAAAGACAAAACUGCGCGAAAGGCCCAUGUGGUAUGUCGAAAAUUACCACUUUGGUCCAAAAAAGUUUGGACUAGCACCAGUAGUCCAAAACUUUGAUUUUGUUGCGAAUUUGGUCCAACUUGUUUUAAAACGUUUUAUAAGACAAAGCUGCAAAAUUGGUCCCUGUGGUAUUCAAAAAAGUUUGGAUAGGUUCCAAAAAGUGUUCAACUUACAUGGAUGGUCCAAAAUCAAGGUUAUUCUUUGGUUUUGGUUCUGAAUGUCUAUUUUACCCUUUUUAUUUCUUUUUUUCUAUUUUUUAUUUAGUUUAGUAUUUAAAAAAUUAUAAAAAAAAUAAAAAAAAUAUCACCUACUCCUCUCCACGACUCCACCCACGGUACUCUUUCUCUCUUUCUCUCUCUCUCUCUCUCUCUCUCUCUCUCUCUCUCUCUCUCUCUCUCUCUCUCUUCUUCUUCUUCUUCUUUUUCUUCUUCUUCUUUUUCUUCUUCUUCUUCUUCUUCUUCUUCUUCUUCCUCUUCACCUGCAAAUCACAAAGGAAAAUAAAAAAAACUUGAUUUUUUUCUACAGAUUACACGCAUAAUGAGACCCCCAAAAACAUGGUUCUUCAAUUUAUUUUGCUCACCUUCAAUAGCCAACUCCUAUUCUUCAGUGAUCAAACACAAAAACCGCAUUUUAGAAUCUCUCUCUCUCUCUCUCUCUCUCUCUCACUCACGUGUUUCUCCCAAGCCCUAGAUUAGUUCUCCUUCUUCCCUGUUAUUGCAAUUGAAGAUGGUAGUCGACUACAUUUGCAUCUUUUUUCUUUACUUCCUUUAAUAUUUCCCAAAAUAGAGAGUUGAGCGGGGGUGUUCGUCUCCGGUGAGAUUUUCCAGCGAAUAUAGGAGGAAGAUGAUACAUUUCGAUGUUGAAUAUGGAGGAAAUAUGAGGGAGGACAUGUAGCCGGCAGUCAUUGUACCUCUCGAUUUGGAAGAGCUGAGAAAUCAAACCCAAUCAAGACCCUGUGUCCCUUAUUUAGUGUAUGCAGAUCUAUAACCCUCUAUCUUCAUGUACCAUUAAUCUGGAACACGUCAAUUCUUCAUCAUCCAGGUAACAAGCGUCGUCCGAGAAGUCCACUGUGAACCAUCUUCAUUUACCACCGGAGACAACCUCCCUCGCCUUCUUCUCUCAUCUACUCAAAUCAGUUAUGGCUUCCGAUCGAUUUAUCUAUUUUCUAAAAUGAACUAGAAACAAUUGACUUUCAUACUAUUUGGAAACAAUCGAUGUUCUCAAAAUCAAAAUGAUAAAAUUUGGGUGUGUCUCUAUUUAUUUGGAUUUAGGUGAAAUGGAGGGUGGGUUCUUGUGAUACAUACAAUACUCUGUGUAUAUGUGUGUGUGUGAUAGAGAGAGAGAGAGGGCGAGGAAGAAGAAGAUGAG